CCUACGGGAGGCAGCAGUGGGGAAUUUUGGACAAUGGGGGCAACCCUGAUCCAGCAAUGCCGCGUGAGUGAAGAAGGCCCUCGGGUUGUAAAGCUCUUUUGUCAGGGAAGAAACGGUGGUUCCUAAUACGAGCUGCUAAUGACGGUACCUGAAGAAUAAGCACCGGCUAACUACGUGCCAGCAGCCGCGGUAAUACGUAGGGUGCAAGCGUUAAUCGGAAUUACUGGGCGUAAAGCGUGCGCAGGCGGUUAUAUAAGACAGAGGUGAAAUCCCCGGGCUCAACCUGGGAACUGCCUUUGUGACUGUAUGGCUAGAGUGUGUCAGAGGGGGGUAGAAGUUCCACGCGUAGCAGUGAAAUGCGUAGAUAUGUGGAGGAAUACCGAUGGCGAAGGCAGCCCCCUGGGAUAACACUGACGCUCAUGCACGAAAGCGUGGGGAGCAAACAGGAUUAGAUACCCUGGUAGUCCACGCCCUAAACGAUGUCUACUAGUUGUCGGGACUUAAUUGUCUUGGUAACGCAGCUAACGCGUGAAGUAGACCGCCUGGGGAGUACGGUCGCAAGAUUAAAACUCAAAGGAUUGACGG
rnacentral:rRNA from 1 species